rnacentral:rRNA from 1 species
AACGAACGCUGGCGGCAUGCCUAACACAUGCAAGUCGAACGAGACCUUCGGGUCUAGUGGCGCACGGGUGCGUAACGCGUGGGAACCUGCCCUUAGGUUCGGAAUAACUCCCCGAAAGGGGUGCUAAUACCGGAUAAUGUCUUCGGACCAAAGAUUUAUCGCCUUUGGAUGGGCCCGCGUUGGAUUAGCUAGUUGGUAGGGUAAAAGCCUACCAAGGCGACGAUCCAUAGCUGGUCUGAGAGGAUGAUCAGCCACACUGGGACUGAGACACGGCCCAGACUCCUACGGGAGGCAGCAGUGGGGAAUAUUGGACAAUGGGCGAAAGACUGAUCCAGCAAUGCCGCGUGAGUGAUGAAGGCCUUAGGGUUGUCAAGCUCUUUUACCCGGGAUGAUAAUGACAGUACCGGGAGAAUAAGCUCCGGCUAACUCCGUG